rnacentral:lncRNA from 1 species
ACCUUCCUCUCGCUGGACUCCUCAGCCGCUCUGCAGCAUCACUAUGCCUUCUGUCAGCGGAGCAUGAGCGAGGAGCAGCAGGCUGCAUUCCGCCUCCGCUUGACUGGAGAGCUGGGAGGCAGCAGCAGGGUGACCUGUGGGGGAGUCGGGGUUGUUGCCCUCGCUCUGUCCGUGCUUUUCGACCUGGUUGCCCAACAAGUCCGAGCGCAGGGAUCGACAGAGAGGUCAGCUCAGAGAUCCCAGGCUAACAGCAUUUUAGGGAUCAGCAGUUCUUCCAGAAUCGGCCGGAUCAUCCACACCUUCCUCCGCCAGAUCCCCGGCAUCGCCAGCAACCAGGAGAAGAUGGCCGAGACCACGGAGCUCUACGACAACUGGCUGAAGCUGGAGCUGAUUGACCAUUAUAACAGGAUGACCAUGAAGAAGAGGAUGAGUUCAGUGUCCAUGCAGCAGUGGCUGGCAGGAGCUGCGUUUCAUCUGCACAUGAGGAUUCACCAGGUUCGUCUGCACUCUGUGCCUGUAGGAUCGGCAGAGUCGCUGCGUCUGUCCUAUAAGACGGCGUUAGAUCGCCUGGUUCAGGGCUUCACAGCCUAUCUGCACAGAAACAUCCAGGAGACUCCAAGAUCCCGAAAACCCAGAACCAACACAGACACUCCCACAUUAAGCAGAACAAACGUGACCUGCUCAAGUAAUCACAUGUUUAAUGAUAGCCUGAUUAGUAUCUCAACUAGUACGUUUAACGGCACUGCCACACCCAAUUCAACUGCUGGAAUCUGCAACACAGACACGCCCAGUGCAGACUUUGGACUUAAAGUGACAAACAGAAGCGAUGAGACUUCUGAAGUUGUGAUAAACAGAAAGACACUCAAUAGUUCCACUGGAUAUGAAGAUGUGCAGGGUCUGUUGGUUAUUGAGCCGUGGAGGAACGUGAGUCACGUUGUGCAGCAUCACGCCUGUGAGUCUCCGGCCAUACAGCAAGCUCUGGUGACUCGUAUCAUUAACUGCUCAGGACCUGGAGAGGAACAGAAACUUUUUCUUGUACCCAGAGAAAGUCUUCCGCAGCAUCCUCAGGCAGAAGAGCGACUUUGAGCUGAAGACAAAUUAGACAGAAAUGAACACUGGUGGAAAGUAACUAAAUACAUUUACUCAAGUAUGGUACUUAAGUACACAUUUGAGAUAGUUUUUUCCUCUCACCAUGUAAAACUCAGUGUUAUAGAAAGAAACCUUGCAGGCUUGUGCAGAAUAAGAAGUUUUCUUCAAGAUUUCUUCAAAAUAAUGAAAUUUGCAUUUUCUUUAAUUACUUGAUUUUGUUAACUAUACGAACAAAAAUGGUUUGAAGUGUUUAAUAUCUGACUCGAGAUUUAGUAAUAUUGAAAAGAUAGUUCCCUAGUUAGUGACCAACAUCACCCUGCUAGAAAGUUGUUACUUCAGAUUUACUCAAGUAAACGUGUAAAUAAAAAAAUACUCAUCAUGUAUUGAUUGGUCAAGGUUUUUAUUAAAAAGAAAAAUACUCAUUAUGCAAAAUGGCUCCUUUCAAAGUGUUACAUUAUUAAAUAAUUGUAUA